rnacentral:rRNA from 1 species
AUUGAACGCUGGCGGCAUGCCUUACACAUGCAAGUCGAACGGUAACGCGGGGCAACCUGGCGACGAGUGGCGAACGGGUGAGUAACGCAUCGGAACGUGCCCAGUAGUGGGGGAUAGCCCGGCGAAAGCCGGAUUAAUACCGCAUACGACCCACGGGUGAAAGCGGGGGAUCGCAAGACCUCGCGCUAUUGGAGCGGCCGAUGUCAGAUUAGGUAGUUGGUGGGGGUAAAGGCCUACCAAGCCGACGAUCUGUAGCUGGUCUGAGAGGACGACCAGCCACACUGGGACUGAGACACGGCCCAGACUCCUACGGGAGGCAGCAGUGGGGAAUUUUGGACAAUGGGCGCAAGCCUGAUCCAGCCAUGCCGCGUGCGGGAAGAAGGCCUUCGGGUUGUAAACCGCUUUUGUCAGGGAAGAAACGCUCUGGGCUAAUACCCUGGGGUAAUGACGGUACCUGAAGAAUAAGCACCGGCUAACUACGUGCCAGCAGCCGCAGUAAGAC